GGCCCGAUGCUACUUUGCUUUCUUUCCAUUGGGAUGCCAGACUCAUGGAAUGCUGACAAGCAGCUCAGGAGAGAUGAAAUGCAGCCCAAAAUCGAGGUCCAAGCCCAUGUUACUCAUGGUGUUUCUCAGGGUGUUUCUCAGAUGUAAAGUAACUUUAUGGUCUUAGACAUGAAGAAUUUGGAGAAUUCCAGUGAACAGCAUCUAUUAUAAAACUCUUAUUCUCUGAGGAAAGGUCACGUGUUUCAAGAAAAUGGACCUUCUCUCUCUAAUAAAAUAUCAAUUAUAAAGAAUUCCUCAGCUAGAAGCACAAAUUCAGAUGCACUCCCCCAAUUCAGGAUAUAUUCAUGGGACCUGAUAUGGUAUUAUCUUUCUCAAAAAAGGCAGUAACAUCUUUCUCAAGGUCUUAAGGACCUGAAGAUUAAUUAAUUUCCGGAGAAAACAGGUACUAAUACGGUGCCUCUCCCGUCUUUCCCAUGUCCGUGGUUAUGGAAGCGGCAGGCAAACUGAUGUUGAAACUCUAGAUAAAUAUCUACAAUGGAACAUUUAUUGAUAUCUGUAUUUAGAUAUUUUGUGUCAAAUGUCCUGGAUGUCAAUUUGUCAUCAGAAGAUUAUUGAUUUGCAUUUGAAACUGGAGAUGAAGAUUUCUGAUGGAGUGGAAAUGAAAAAUUAUGGCAAUGGAAUAGCAUCUGAACAUGGAAUAACAUGUGACAAUGAGAAUGGGCACAAACUCUCAUGUCAAAGUUGGACAACACAACCCAAAAGGAUGAAAAGCAUCUGAUUCCCCAACUCAUCCUAAUAAUUGCCUAUGAGUCUCCACCAGUUUCUUGAUGAAGCUCUCUGAUGAUAAUUGGACUAGACUCUAAUAUAUAGUAAAGCACAAUAUGGUCUCUGUGGCAUCUAGACACUGUUUCCUGGAAGCAGACAUCAGCUGUAGGCUUCCACUCAUGGCAUGGACCUCAAGUUGUACCAAUUAUUCAUUUGGCCACACCAUCAUCAAUUGCAGACAGAAAAAAAUUAUAAGGAUGUAAAUUGGAAUUAUUUCAUUAGCAAGAAAAGUUACCCUCUAUAAAACAGGAUGGUCACCUCCUCCCCUCCCCUAGCAGGCCUCCCCUUCCCUAAGGACUCAAGUCUCUUCAGGAUUAGGUGAAUCUUAUCCCACUGGGGCUAGACCAGGCAGUCUUCUGUUGUGUAUGUGCAGCAGCCUCGGAGCAGCCUAGAUGAGCAAAUCACUGAAUCUUCUUCAGAGAACAUCAAUAUGUAUUUAUGUCCCUGCUGAUUCACCAGAAUAUUGGAGGGAGGGACAGAUAAGAUCUACUGAUCAGAAAUUUUGGGAAUCUGAUAUGAAAUACGUAAGAACAAAGCACAAUGUUUUUAUUUCAUGAAAAGCUCAAAUCAUUAUACUAUCACAUGUUAGCAUCUUAACACAGCACUGAAUCCAGACUGGGAUCAAAGUUGGUACCAUGGGAAUAGUUAUUUAAUAGAAAGCAGAAUAUUUGUGACAACUGCCAUUCCUAUUCAACAAAUUGGCAAGCAAUGCAUCAAAAUCAUGUAAACUCAGUAAAAAAAAGCUGAAUAAAAUACAGAAUGGCCAAAAAUAAAACUACUCAGGUCAGAAAUAUGUUUUUGAAUGUAAUGUAGCCACAACCAUGUUUUGAAGAGAAACCUCAGCACUUGGAAGAAAUAUAAUCCAAUAGCAUAACAGAAAGGAGGCUUUGUCUGGUUAUGAGGCGUGAAAGUACAAGGCAGAACUCUCCUCAGUAAAGAUUGCAACCCUCCUACAGAGAGCUGAACUGUAUGCAAGAGCCUAACCCAGCAAGGAAGACUUUCUGAGCUUACUGAUUUGGUUUUACAAAAAGAUUGACAGCAGCUCUAUUACAACCUGUAAAUUUAGCUGCAAAAUACAACUUGGUGUAUGUGGGAAAACAUGUUUAU
rnacentral:lncRNA from 1 species